rnacentral:rRNA from 1 species
AGAGUUUGAUUCUGGCUCAGAACGAACGCUGGCGGCGUGGAUAAGACAUGCAAGUCGAACGAUGAUUACGUGGUAGCAAUAUUGCGUAAUUGGAGUGGCGAAAGGGUGCGUAACACGUGGGUAAUCUGCCGUGAAGUUGGGGAUAACCCCGAGAAAUCGGGGCUAAUACCGAAUGUGAAGGUUCAAGGGCAUCUUUGAACCUUUGAAGCUGGGGACCGUAAGGCCUGGCGCUUCACGAUGAGCCCGCGGCCUAUCAGCUAGUUGGCGGGGUAACGGCCCACCAAGGCAAUGACGGGUAGCUGGUCUGAGAGGACGACCAGCCACACUGGAACUGAGACACGGUCCAGACACCUACGGGUGGCAGCAGUCGAGAAUCUUUCACAAUGGGCGAAAGCCUGAUGGAGCGACGCCGCGUGGGGGAUGAAUGGCUUCGGUCCGUAAACCCCUGUCAUUCGCGAGCAAAUCUUUGGGUCUAAUACAUCCAAAGUUGAUAGUAGCGAAAGAGGAAGGGACGGCUAACUCUGUGCCAGCAGCCGCGGUAAUACAGAGGUCCCAAGCGUUGUUCGGAUUCACUGGGCGUAAAGGGUGCGUAGGUGGCAAGGGAAGUUUGAUGUGAAAUCCCCGGGCUCAACCCGGGAACUGCAUUGAAUACUCUCUCGCUCGAGGGUCGGAGGGGAGACUGGAAUUCUCGGUGUAGCAGUGAAAUGCGUAGAUAUCGAGAGGAACACCAGUGGCGAAGGCGAGUCUCUGGACGACACCUGACACUGAGGCACGAAAGCUAGGGGAGCAAACAGGAUUAGAUACCCUGGUAGUCCUAGCCGUAAACGGUGUGCACUUGCUGUGAGCGGAAUCGACCCCGUUCGUGGCGAAGCUAACGCGUUAAGUGCACCGCCUGGGGAGUACGGUCGCAAGAUUAAAACUCAAAGAAAUUGACGGGGGCCUGCACAAGCGGUGGAGUAUGUGGCUUAAUUCGAUUCAACGCGAAGAACCUUACCUGGCCUUGACAUGCAGGUGGUAGAAGCCUGAAAGGGUAACGACUCCGCAAGGAGAGCCUGCACAGGUGCUGCAUGGCUGUCGUCAGCUCGUGUCGUGAGAUGUUGGGUUAAGUCCCGCAACGAGCGCAACCCUUGUGCCCUGUUGCCACCCCUGCGAGAGCGGGGAGCACUCUGGGCAGACUGCCUCGUCUAAACGGGGAGGAAGGUGGGGAUGACGUCAAGUCAGUAUGGCCCUUACGGCCAGGGCUGCACACGUACUACAAUGCUCGGUACAAAGGGACGCAAUACCGCAAGGUGGAGCAAAUCCCGUAAAACCGAGCCCAGUUCAGAUUGUCGUCUGCAACUCGACGGCAUGAAGCCGGAAUCGCUAGUAAUGGCGCAUCAGCUACGGCGCCGUGAAUACGUUCCCAGGCCUUGUACACACCGCCCGUCACAUCAUGAAAGCCGGCUGUACCCGAAGUCAGUGUGCCAACCUCGCGCAAGCGAGGAAGCAGUUGCCGAAGGUAUGGCUGGUGAUUGGGAUGAAGUCGGAACAAGGUA